rnacentral:misc_RNA from 1 species
GAAAUGCGAUAAGUAAUGUGAAUUGCAGAAUUCAGUGAAUCAUCGAAUCUUUGAACGCACAUUGCGCCCGCCAGUAUUCUGGCGGGCAUGCCUGUUCGAGCGUCAUUACAACCCUCAGGCCCCCGGGCCUGGCGUUGGGGAUCGGCGGAAGCCCCCUGCGGGCACAACUCCGUCCCCCAAAUACAGUGGCGGUCCCGCCGCAGCUUCCAUUGCGUAGUAGCUAACACCUCGCAACUGGAGAGCGGCGCGGCCACGCCGUAAAACACCCAACUUCUGAAUGUUGACCUCGAAUCAGGUAGGAAUACCCGCUGAACUUAAGC